rnacentral:rRNA from 1 species
GUCUAUGGCCAUAGCACCCUGAAUGUGCCUAAUCUCAUCUGAUUUCGGAAGCUAAGCAGAGUUGGGCCUGAUUAGUACUUGGGGGGAGGGGGGAGUACUCACUUCUUGACA